GAUGAACGCUGGCGGCGUGCCUAAUACAUGUAAGUCGAGCGAACAGACGAGGAGCUUGCUCCUCUGACGUUAGCGGCGGACGGGUGAGUAACACGUGGAUAACCUACCUAUAAGACUGGGAUAACUUCGGGAAACCGGAGCUAAUACCGGAUAAUAUAUUGAACCGCAUGGUUCAAUAGUGAAAGACGGUUUUGCUGUCACUUAUAGAUGGAUCCGCGCCGCAUUAGCUAGUUGGUAAGGUAACGGCUUACCAAGGCGACGGUGCGUAGCCGACCUGAGAGGGUGAUCGGCCACACUGGAACUGAGACACGGUCCAGACUCCUACGGGAGGCAGCAGUAGGGAAUCUUCCGCAAUGGGCGAAAGCCUGACGGAGCAACGCCGCGUGAGUGAUGAAGGUCUUCGGAUCGUAAAACUCUGUUAUUAGGGAAGAACAAAUGUGUAAGUAACUAUGCACGUCUUGACGGUACCUAAUCAGAAAGCCACGGCUAACUACGUG
rnacentral:rRNA from 1 species